AUACCUUUCUCGGCCUUUUGGCUAAGAUCAAGUGUAGUAUCUGUUCUUAUCAGUUUAAUAUCUGAUACGUGGGACAUCGUCCCACACGAUAUUAAAUUAAUUUUUUUCUUGGGGGAGGUCCCACAACAGUGGCUUGCUACUGGGGACCUCGAGCGUCGCCCAUGCGUUGCACUAUUGCAAGGGCCUGGCGCACCCCCA
rfam:Macleaya cordata isolate BLH2017 scaffold9063, whole genome shotgun sequence.